rnacentral:rRNA from 1 species
GGGUUGUGAGGUUAAGCGACUAAGCGUACACGGUGGAUGCCCUGGCAGUCAGAGGCGAUGAAGGGCGUGCUAAUCUGCGAUAAGCGCCGGUAAGGUGAUAUGAACCGUUAUAACCGGCGAUACCCGAAUGGGGAAACCCAGUGUGAUUCGUCACACUAUCAUUAACUGAAUCCAUAGGUUAAUGAGGCGAACCGGGGGAACUGAAACAUCUAAGUACCCCGAGGAAAAGAAAUCAACCGAGAUUCCCCCAGUAGCGGCGAGCGAACGGGGAGGAGCCCAGAGCCUGAAUCAGCAUGUGUGUUAGUGGAAGCGUCUGGAAAGGCGCGCGAUACAGGGUGACAGCCCCGUACACAAAAGCGCAUGUGCUGUGAGCUCGAUGAGUAGGGCGGGACACGUGGUAUCCUGUCUGAAUAUGGGGGGACCAUCCUCCAAGGCUAAAUACUCCUGACUGACCGAUAGUGAACCAGUACCGUGAGGGAAAGGCGAAAAGAACCCCGGCGAGGGGAGUGAAAAAGAACCUGAAACCGUGUACGUACAAGCAGUGGGAGCACCCUUCGGGGUGUGACUGCGUACCUU